CCUACGGGUGGCAGCAGUGGGGAAUAUUGGGCAAUGGACGCAAGUCUGACCCAGCAACGCCGCGUGAAGGAAGAAGGCUUUCGGGUUGUAAACUUCUUUUAAGGGGGAAGAGCAGAAGACGGUACCCCUUGAAUAAGCCACGGCUAACUACGUGCCAGCAGCCGCGGUAAUACGUAGGGGGCAAGCGUUAUCCGGAUUUACUGGGUGUAAAGGGAGCGUAGACGGCAAUACAAGUCGGAAGUGAAAUACCCGGGCUCAACCUGGGAAUUGCUUUGGAAACUGUAUGGCUGGAGUGCUGGAGAGGUAAGCGGAAUUCCUAGUGUAGCGGUGAAAUGCGUAGAUAUUAGGAGGAACACCAGUGGCGAAGGCGGCUUACUGGACAGUAACUGACGUUGAGGCUCGAAAGCGUGGGGAGCAAACAGGAUUAGAUACCCGGGUAGUC
rnacentral:rRNA from 1 species